ACCAUACACCCACCACCUAGUCCAGGACCUAAGCCUCACGGCGAGCACACAAUGAGCCUCUGUUGAACACUUGAAUGAAUGUCUACGGUAUCCAAUAUGUCCCCAAAAAGUAUCAUGAGCUUUGUAGUGCAAAGGGCUCUGAACAACUCAAAUGAGAAACACAAACAUGUCCAGUGAUAAGGGCCGGCCUGAAUGACCUCUGAGGUCAUCUGCAAUGCCACGAGCCCUGGAGCCUGUCCUACUCGGGCAAGUAACUUCCCUGAAAGAAUGCUAAACACUUUCUUCCUCGCCUCAGCUCAGCAGCCAUAGUUGAAGUCUUCGGACUGUGCCCAGCACUGUGUGAUCCUCCAGGAGGAGGAGGCUGGAACUUUGGGGAAGGGUGGACGCAUGUGGACAGCUAUGGGAGGAAGGUCGCUGAGGAGAAGGAACAACAUGAGCAAAGCCUCAGAAGGGAUGGCUCUCGUCCAGGCAGUGAAGACAGAAAAGUCUUACAAAAACCGAGGGAUCUGCUGCUAGGAGCUUAUCCACCCUCACCAACCCCAGGACAUCUCUGAGUGCGUCCUAUGUACCCUCCAAAGAGCAAAAUCCAGCAACACAGGGACCUAGCAAAGUCUAGAGGAAAGGAAUGUCUGCCCCAAGCCUUGCCCCAGGGUCAGACGCCUGGAAAAAAUUCCUGGGAUUAUUUGGUGUUGUCUAAGAUGGAUUUGGAGCCACCGGGACUGAUGAGAGAUGUGGCUUUGGAUGGGGGCUGCGGGGACUGGUCUGUGGCAAGCUGAGGACAACUUCAUGUCUCAAAACUUGCCUGAGCUGUUCACCAAUCUGAAUCUGCCUUCCUUCCUCUUCCCUAUUCAUUGAAUUCCUUUAAAACCAUCUCUCCUCCGAAGAUCCCCUGAGCCCCUCAUUCAGAAUUAAUCCACUGUCCCUCAUGCUCCUCCAACAAGAGCUUGUAUCUCGAUUUCCAGAUCCAGGACAUAGAAAAUUCCACAGGAUCCCUGAAUAAAAACCUGACCACUACAGGGUGGCGGCAACCUACAUCCCAAUGCCCUCAGGAAGGAUCUGGGGAGAGACAGGUUGUCUGGGAUGUGGGUGAGGACUCUCAAGGACUCUGCCCAGCCCAUCUGGGAGAAGCCUAGAUGUGCCUAUCACAGAAGAUGGCAGAGGCUUCCUCCCUGCACCCUGCUGACUUCCCCCUGCCCCUGCUCUGAGACUAAGCAACCAUCAGGAGUCUGGAAGUAGAGGGAUCCAACCUCAAGACUCAAAGCCUAGAUGAUUUGUGGAGAAGAAUCAAAUCUGUGGGAGAGAGUGACGGCUCCCAGAGGGAGUGUCAAAGAAAAUUGCCUCUAACCUGAUCUGGGUAAAAGGAAGAAGACUCCUUUCAGAGAAUAUGAAGAACAAGAGACAUGAUGCACUAAGGAAUUGGCACAAGACAUAAAUUUUGUUCCUACAUGGUGAGCCCAUUCAUUUAUUCAGCAAACAUUCGUGUACUCCUACUGUAGUGCAAGACACCUGUACAAGGUACAAAAGUAUACAAAGAAAACAACUCCCCUCAAUGGAAUUAGUGUGGGAAGUGGUACUGGGAAUAAGGCAUAUUCACAGAUUUGGAUAAUAAAAGUUAGUACAGUAGUAUUUGCAAAGUGCUACACAAGUCCAGACCUUUCUUUUCAUUUCUUUGUUUUUUUCUUUCUUUGAUGUACUACAUUUAAUCUGGGUGAUUGGGGCUGAUGUUAUUAGAAAAAAACAGAGGAAUUAGAAAGAGGAGAAAGAAAAUGGGACAGAAAAGAGAAAGGAAACCAAGCCCUCCUUCCUGCUUCCUUCAGCCCGAGUUCUGGGAGAGCAAAGGACCAGUUGUCACAAGAGGUCUCCAAGCAGGUCCAAGCCACCAAGUCACAAUUCAAGGCACGUAUCCUCCUGUAUCAACAAAGCAUAUUUUUGCUGAAUUGCACAAAAUUCUGGCCAUCUGGAGUUUUCUA